CCACAGUUGGUCGUUGGAGCUGAUGAGGAGACAGAUAGCACCUUAGCUACAGAGAAGAAGAAAGAAGUGCUUUCAGUUACUCCAUGUAUGCAAGUAAAAAACAGAUCUGCCCAUCAAUCAAAGGGGAUUUCUGAGCCGUUGUUGACCUGAGACCAGGGUGUUUCAACCUCCACUUUGGAGAGAAUGUUCACAUGUUCAGUUCCAGGCCUUAGCUAAAAGGCAAGAAAUGCAGACUGCUCUACUCAGGAGAGAACUCACCUAUUCAAAGAGGACAGCCGGAGGCACACGCCAAAUUCAAAGUGGGACCCUCCCACCGGCCCAUGGCUAACAGGACCACAGGUGGCCACCUGACGCGUGGUGAUCCAGUCAGUUUUUCUUUCCAUGAAGAAUUUAGAAUGGGGAUUAAGAAAGAGAAGCUACGUUCCAGGAAGAAGCUCUAAAUAACAACUGCCCUGGACCUAUCUGCCCUGGCCAGACUGCAGUCGAGACUGCAACCACAAGAAUGACACCUGCACAGACAGGCAGAGAGUUGUACUAAAGUAACCUGCGCUCAUUAACAUCCUAAAUUCUCUUUCUUUGGGAGGGGUGAAGGAGCCAUUUUUAGAUCAUGUGAUGUAUGUAAAAGCAUGGUUUCCUUUUUUUUUUCUUAAUAUUGGCCCUGAGCUCACAUCUGUUGCCAAUCUUCCUUUUUUUCUUCUUCUUCUCCCCAAAGCCCCCCAGUACACAGUUGUAUAUUCUUGUCGUGAGUGCCUCUGGUUGUACUCUGUGGGUUGCCGACUCAGCAUGGCUUGAUGAGCAGUGCCAUGUCUGCACCCAGGAUCCAAACCAGUGAAACCCUGGGCCGCCAAAGUGGAGCACGUGAACUCAACCAUUCAGCCACAGGGCCAGCCCCUAAAAGCAUGAUUUCAAACCACACGUGUGCAAGCUUAUGCCUACCUCUACAUGUGAUGAUGAAACUUCCCCUUU
rnacentral:lncRNA from 1 species